AGACUGAUGUAUAGAUUACUUCCUUCGAGAUAGAUGAGUCUUUGAUCUACAGUGUAGAGAUACUGAGCAAUGAGUGCGGUUAGUUAUUAGAGAACAACUAGUACUGAGCAUAACGAUACGAGAGAUCACUUGAAUUUCUACUCGAUCGUCAAUGAUCAUCUCGAUGUUGUAGUUGUGUGAAUGAUCUUUUGACCUGCAAUGAU
rnacentral:lncRNA from 1 species